rnacentral:lncRNA from 1 species
ACAAUACACUGCUUCUAUGCCAGCAAGGCAUUUGGCAUUCACCUUGAUUAUAAACCUUAUCUCUCUACACUAUAAUCAUCUUCCCAGUAACCUGGAAACACCUACAAGAGAACAGAAACUGUUUCUUGCUCCUUUUUAUAUCUCUGGUGCAUAAUAUGAGGUCUGUGUGUUAGGAGCAUGCUCAGUGAAAGACCACUGAAGUUGAGCCCCACCCAGAUGUGAGCAUAUGAAGAUGAAUGUUGGUGAAAGCAUGCGUCUUGCAUCUGGAGAACUGCCUUCCUCCGGGAGAGCCAUCAACAACCACCCAUUACUGUGCAGAUGAUGGGACUAACUUCCCUUAUCCAUGUGGGCUUCUCUGCCCAGCUCCCCGCCACUGAGGAUGUGUUUUUGCAAGACAGUCAAAGAAGAGACAAGAAGUAAGCCAGCAGAAGCCGGUUAUUAUACAACUGCUCUUUCUGGAGAAUGCCAAAGCCAUCCGUGACACGGUUCUGAGCCAGAAUCUGUUCAUCUAGACAACAUGGACAGUAGCACCCACCUCCUGGUACUACAGAUCAAGCAAGACAAGGCAUUCAAAGGGGUCUGCACAGUUUCUGAGACACAGGCAAUGCUUCAGGGCAUGGAAGGGUUCAGGAUGCUGUGUUUACCAUUUGGCCCUCAUGCUGGCUGGCUGGACUUCUGGGAGCUAUCCUGCAAAUGUAAAUCAUUACUUAUAGGGCUGUUCCCGUGGUACACAGGGAUCGUGGGGUUAAAAACCUGUCUGCAGCCUUGGUCUAUUGUGUUGCCAAGAAAUUGCCCUGCAUCUGUUAUAAAUAUAGAAAUAAACAGAACAUCAAACCUU